UAACCUACCCAUCAGAGGGGGAUAACACUUGGAAACAGGUGCUAAUACCGCAUAACAGUUUAUGCCGCAUGGCAUAAGAGUGAAAGGCGCUUUCGGGUGUCGCUGAUGGAUGGACCCGCGGUGCAUUAGCUAGUUGGUGAGGUAACGGCUCACCAAGGCCACGAUGCAUAGCCGACCCGAGAGGGUGAUCGGCCACACUGGGACUGAGACACGGCCCAG
rnacentral:rRNA from 1 species